AGAAGAAGUUCAACCAAAAGUGCAAAGCAAUCCAGUAAAGAAUAGUCUUGGCCAAAAAAAACCCAAAGAUGAUGCAAGAAUAACAACAUUAAAGGACAAGAUGCAAGAAAUACAUUUAGACAUAGAGAGAAACCCAAAGAAGUACAAAGAAUCGACAAUCAGAAUUAUGAGAAAUCUCAAAAGAAUGGAAAAGGCA